rnacentral:rRNA from 1 species
UGUAGUCAUAUGCUUGUCUCAAAGAUUAAGCCAUGCAUGCCUAAGUAUAAAUAACUACACAGUGAAACUGCGAAUGGCUCAUUAAAACAGUUAUAGUUUAUUUGAUACAUUAAAUGGAUAACUGUAGAAAAACUAGAGCUAAUACAUGCCAAAACCGCAAGGUUGUAUUUAUUAGAUAUACCAGGUUGGUGAAUCAUAAUAACUUCGCAAAUCGCAGCUAUGCUGCGAUAAAUCAUUCAAGUUUCUGCCCUAUCAUGCUUUCGAUGGUAGUGUAUUGGACUACCAUGGCUCUCACGGGUAACGGGGAAUUAGGGUUCGAUUCCGGAGAAGGAGCCUGAGAAACGGCUACUACAUCUAAGGAAGGCAGCAGGCGCGUAAAUUACCCAAUCCUGACUCAGGGAGGUAGUGACAAGAUAUAACGACGCGCCUAAAAAGCGCGAUUGUAGUGAGG